ensembl:snRNA U6 U6 spliceosomal RNA
GUGCUCACUUUGGUGGCACAUAUACUAAAAUUGGAACAAUACAGAGAAGAUUUGCUUAGCCCUCAUGCAAGGAUGACACGCAAAUUCUUGAAGUACCGUUAGGGUAA